rnacentral:rRNA from 1 species
UACGGGGGGGGCAAGCGUUGUUCGGAAUUACUGGGCGUAAAGGCUCGUAGGUGGCCAACUAAGUCAUACGUGAAAUCCCUCGGCUUAACCGGGGAACUGCGUCUGAUACUGGAUGGCUUGAGGUUGGGAGAGGGAUGCGGAAUUCCAGGUGGUAGCGGUGAAAUGCGUAGAUAUCUGGAGGAACACCGGUGGCGAAGGCGGCGAUCCUGGACCAAUUCUGACACUGAGGAGCGAAAGCCAGGGAGCAAACGGG